GAUGAACGCUGGCGGCGUGCCUAAUACAUGCAAGUCGAGCGAACAGACGAGGAGCUUGCUCCUCUGACGUUAGCGGCGGACGGGUGAGUAACACGUGGAUAACCUACCUAUAAGACUGGGAUAACUUCGGGAAACCGGAGCUAAUACCGGAUAAUAUAUUGAACCGCAUGGUUCAAUAGUGAAAGACGGUUUUGCUGUCACUUAUAGAUGGAUCCGCGCCGCAUUAGCUAGUUGGUAAGGUAACGGCUUACCAAGGCAACGAUGCGUAGCCGACCUGAGAGGGUGGUCGGCCACACUGGAACUGAGACACGGUCCCGACUCCUACGGGAGGCAGCAGUAGGGAAUCUUCCGCAAUGGGCGAAAGCCUGACGGAGCAACGCCGCGUGAGUGAUGAAGGUCUUCGGAUCGUAAAACUCUGUUAUUAGGGAAGAACAAAUGUGUAAGUAACUAUGCACGUCUUGACGGUACCUAAUCAGAAAGCCACGGCUAACUACGUG
rnacentral:rRNA from 1 species